AUGAUAUCGCUGAUCGUGCCACCCCGUGAUCAGGUCUGUCGAGUCACCAAGCUGCUGGGUGAUGAACAUGGGACUGCCUCAAACAUCAAGAGGAGAGUCAACAGGCAGUCUGUCUUGGCAGCUAUUACCUCUGCCCAGCAAAAGUUGAAGCUGUACAAUCGACUUCCCACCAACGGAUUGGUGCUCUACACCGGCACCAUUGUCACCGAUGAGGGGAAAGAAAAGAAGGUCAGCAUUGAUUUUGAGCCAUUCAGGCCAGUUAACGCGUUCAUGUAUCUCUGUGACAACAAGUUCCACACCGAGGCACUGCAUGAGCUGCUUGAGUCCGAUGAUAAGUUUGGCUUCAUUGUCAUGGACGGUAAUGGGACGCUUUUUGGAACCCUAAGUGGCAACACCAGAGAGGUUCUUCACAAGUUCUCUGUUGAUCUCCCAAAGAAACAUGGACGAGGAGGGCAGUCAGCACUUCGCUUUUCCCGCCUACGCAUGGAGACCCGGCACAACUAUGUGCGCAGGACGGCUGAGCUUGCUACUAGAUUCUUCAUUAACCCUGCCACUAGCCAGCCAAAUGUUUCUGGUCUCAUUCUAGCUGGUUGUGCUGACCUCAAGACUGAAUUGAGUCAAUCUGACCUGUUUGAUCAGCGCUUGGCAGCCAAGAUACUGAAGGUUGUCACUGUCUCUCAUGGUGGAGAGGAUGGCUUCAACCAGGCCAUUGAGAUAUCUGCUGAAGUCCUCUCCAAUGUCAAGUUCAUCCAAGAAAAAAGGUUGAUGGGGAAGUACUUUGAGGAGAUAAGCCAAGACACUGGGAAGUAUGUUUUUGGUGUGGAUGACACCAUGUCUGCCCUUGAAAUGGGUGCAGUUGAGACACUGAUUGUGUGGGAAAAUCUUGAUAUCAACCGAUACAUCUUGAAGAAUUCUGCUACCGGAGAAACUGUGGUAAAGCACUUCAACGAGGCACAGGAGGCAGAUCAGAGCAACUUCAAAGAUAAGGCGACAUCUGCAGAGCUGGAGGUGGUUGAGAGCACCUUGCUGCUGGAGUGGUUUGCCAAAAACUAUCGGCAGUUUGGUUGCGCGCUGGAGCUCAUCACGAACAAUACAGAGCAAGGAUCUCAGUUCUGCAUGGGCUAUGGUGGGAUAGGAGGGAUCCUCCGCUACCGGGUUGACUUGAACGCUUACGAAGACCCAUCUGAUGAGGAGUAUGAUGAAGGCUUUGAGGAGCAAUCUACUGAAACUCCAGUGAAUUCAGUCCGGGAGGAGCCUGCCGUAGACUGGAACCAGAACGUUCGAUUCAAUUUUCUUAUUAUUGUAGCAAGACGAGAAGACUAA
rnacentral:rRNA from 1 species